rnacentral:rRNA from 1 species
AUUGAACGCUGGCGGCAUGCCUUACACAUGCAAGUCGAGCGGUAACGCGGGGCAACCUGGCGACGAGUGGCGAACGGGUGAGUAAUGCAUCGGAACGUGCCCAUUAGUGGGGGAUAGCCCGGCGAAAGCCGGAUUAAUACCGCAUACGACCUACGGGUGAAAGCAGGGGAUCGCAAGACCUUGCGCUAUAGGAGCGGCCGAUGUCGGAUUAGCUAGUUGGUGGGGUAAAGGCCUACCAAGGCUACGAUCCGUAGCUGGUCUGAGAGGACGACCAGCCACACUGGGACUGAGACACGGCCCAGACUCCUACGGGAGGCAGCAGUGGGGAAUUUUGGACAAUGGGGGCAACCCUGAUCCAGCCAUGCCGCGUGCGGGAAGAAGGCCUUCGGGUUGUAAACCGCUUUUGUCAGGGAAGAAACGGCUUGGGCUAAUACCUCGAGCUAAUGACGGUACCUGAAGAAUAAGCACCGGCUAACUACGUGCCAGCCGCCGCGGUAAAAC